UAGUCAUACGCUCGUCUCAAAGAUUAAGCCAUGCAUGUGUAAGUAUAAAUAAUUCUACUUUGAAACUGCGAAUGGCUCAUUAUAUCAGUUAUAGUUUAUUAGAAAUAGUGUACUACUUGGAUAACCGUAGUAAUUCUAGGGCUAAUACAUGAGUAAAUCCUCGACUUUGGAAGAGGUGUGUUUAUUAGUAUGAAAACCAUAUGCUUUUGCAUGUUAGUGAGUAAUAAUAACCUUUCAUAUCGCCUGGGUUUAAAUAGCGAUAGUUCUUUCAAGUUUCUGCCCUAUCAGCUUUCGAUGGUAGUGUAUUGGACUACCAUGGCAGUAACGGGUAACGAAGAAUUUGGGUUCGAUUUCGGAGAGGGAGCCUGAGAGAUGGCUACCACAUCCAAGGAAGGCAGCAGGCGCGUAAAUUACCCAAUCCUGACAUAGGGAGGUAGUGACAAUAAAUCACAAUGCGGGACUAUUUAGUUUUGCAAUUGGAUUGAGAACAAUGUACAAGAGUUAUCGAUAAACAAUUGGAGGGCAAGUCUGGUGCCAGCAGCCGCGGUAAUUCCAGCUCCAAUAGCGUAUAUUAACGUUGUU
rnacentral:rRNA from 1 species